rnacentral:rRNA from 1 species
GACGAACGCUGGCGGCGUGCUUAACACAUGCAAGUCGAACGGAAAGGCCCUGCUUUUGUGGGGUGCUCGAGUGGCGAACGGGUGAGUAACACGUGAGUAACCUGCCCUUGACUUUGGGAUAACUUCAGGAAACUGGGGCUAAUACCGGAUAGGAGCUCCUGCUGCAUGGUGGGGGUUGGAAAGUUUCGGCGUUUGGGGAUGGACUCGCGGGUUAUCAGCUUGUUGGUGGGGUAGUGGCUUACCAAGGCUUUGACGGAUAGCCGGCCUGAGAGGGUGAGCGGCACCACUGGAACUGAGAGAAGGGCCAGACUCCUACGGGAGGCAGCAGUAGGGAAGCGGCGGCAAGGGGCGAAAGCCUGACGGAGCAACGCCGCGUGAGUGAGGAAGGUCUGCGGAUCGUAAAACUCUGUUAUUAGGGAAGAAAAUAUGUGUAAGUAACUGUGCACAUCUUGACGGUACCUAAUCAGAAAGCCACGGCUAACUACGUG